rnacentral:rRNA from 1 species
UGGGGAAUAUUGCGCAAUGGGGGGAACCCUGACGCAGCCAUGCCGCGUGAAUGAAGAAGGCCUUAGGGUUGUAAAGUUCUUUCGGUAUUGAGGAAGGUUGAUGUGUUAAUAGCACAUCAAAUUGACGUUAAAUACAGAAGAAGCACCGGCUAACUCCGUGCCAGCAGCCGCGGUAAUACGGAGGGUGCGAGCGUUAAUCGGAAUAACUGGGCGUAAAGGGCACGCAGGCGGUUAUUUAAGUGAGGUGUGAAAGCCCCGGGCUUAACCUGGGAACUGCAUCUGAUACUGGAUAACUAGAGUAGGUGAGAGGGGAGUAGAAUUCCAGGUGUAGCGGUGAAAUGCGUAGAGAUCUGGAGGAAUACCGAUGGCGAAGGCAGCUCCCUGGCAUCAUACUGACACUGAGGUGCGAAAGCGUGGGUAGCAAACAGGAUUAGAUACCCUGGUAGUCCACGCUGUAAACGCUGUCGAUUUGGGGGUUGGGGUUUAACUCUGGCGCCCGUAGCUAACGUGAUAAAUCGACCGCCUGGGGAGUACGGCCGCAAGGUUA